rnacentral:rRNA from 1 species
AGGCUGAAACUCGCCUCUUUGAAGUCGGAAUCGCUAGUAAUCGCAGAUCAGCAUGUUGCGGUGAAUACGUUCCCGGGUCUUGUACACACCGCCCGUCAAACCAUGAGAGUCGCCAACACCCGAAGUCCACCUAGUGGCCUAAGGUGGGGGAGAUGAUUGGGGUUAAGUCGUAACAAGGUAGC